rnacentral:rRNA from 1 species
CAGUCGCCACGGUAAUACGGAGGGUGCAAGCGUUAAUCGGAAUUACUGGGCGUAAAGCGCACGCAGGCGGUCUGACAAGUCAGAUGUGAAAUCCCCGGGCUUAACCUGGGAACUGCAUUUGAAACUGUCAGGCUGGAGUCUUGUAGAGGGGGGUGGAAUUCCAGGUGUAGCGGUGAAAUGCGUAGAGAUCUGGAGGAAUACCGGUGGCGAAGGCGGCCCCCUGGACAAAGACUGACGCUCAGGUGCGAAAGCGUGGGGAGCAAACAGGAUUAGAUACCCCUGUAGUCCCUGUCUCUUAUAA